rnacentral:rRNA from 1 species
UACGUAGGGUGCGAGCGUUAAUCGGAAUUAUUGGGCGUAAAGCGUGCGCAGGCGGCUUCGCAAGUCAGACGUGAAAUCCCCGGGCUUAACCUGGGAAUGGCGUUUGAAACUACGGAGCUGGAGUGUGGCAGAGGGAGGUAGAAUUCCACGUGUAGCGGUGAAAUGCGUAGAUAUGUGGAGGAAUACCGAUGGCGAAGGCGGCCUUCUGGCCUCUUACUGACGCUGAGGCGCGAAAGCGUGGGGAGCGGACGGG